rnacentral:lncRNA from 1 species
UCUAGAUUCCUAGUCUCUAACAUGGAAAAAAAUAUGGAGCACGUGGAACAAAAAUAGCUCGAAUGUAGGAUCACUUGGGGAAUAACUUGGACUUACACAGUUACAUGAAAAAUCUCCAAAGUCAUAUUCGCCAGAAUUACAUCCAAGAACAACGUUUUAUUUAGCAGCUAACUGAGAUGAAUAGCAGCUUCAGUAGCUCUAAGCAAAGGCUCUAUUCAUCAAAUUUAAGGACACAGGCAAAGGAAAUUGAUUCAUUUCUGGACCUGAUUGAGUUUCCACAGUUAGAUGCAUUGGAGGGAGACACGACCUGAAUGCUCCAAUUCUGUGGUUAGUGCCUGCAUGUAAUCUGGUCUGGAGCACCCCACCCUUGUGUCCUCAAGUCCAGCCAGGCUCACCACAUGGAAGACACUCUUAUCGCCAUGCUACUUUUGGGAUAACCAAUGAAAUCUUUAACAAAACGUGUGAUCUUUCAGCGAAAAUACAACUUUCCCUAGGAGACGCCUGUAUAUAUGAAAUAGGAGAUGCAUGAAAUAUUGGAAUAUCUUAUGAAGAGCAGGGCUCAGCUUGGUACCUUGCACUUUGUUGGUGCCCUGUCAUGCUUGUUGACUCAAAGGCGUCUUGUUAAAUGUAUUGUUUGCCACUGUUACAGGAUUUAUUUUCACCUUCCUCCCCAUAAUCUUGAAAAUCUAGUUGAGAGCCAGAAGUUUCUUCUCCCGUGGCAUGUUCUCACCACCACUUCUAUAGGUCUUUAGAGCCACUUGAUCACUGGUUCAGUGUCUUAACCAAACUGUUAGAGUCUAAGCUCUGUGAAGGCACGGGACAAGUCUGUCUCAUUCACACUCCGUAAGGCAAGGCCAAUAGCGGUUGCUUAGAAAAUACUUGUUAGAGGAGCAUUCAUCCACCCUGCAAUCCAGGCUUGGUUCUGGUUUUCUAUUCUCAACAUCCAGGAGACUUGCUUGAUGUUGGGAUGCUAGGUUCCUUAGUUAAGUCAUUAAUUUUGGUGUUUAAGCCUUGUCCUUAAAUUCAAAGGGCACUGGGUUUGAGCCACAAUUUGACCAAUUAGCAAUGGGACCUCAGACAAUUUACUUAAACUCUGUGAGCCUUAGUAUCUUCAUCUCUAAAAAGGAGGUGAUAAUAACACCUUCUUCACAAGAUUUUGGUGAUAAUUAAAUAAGAUUUUUAUAUUUAUAUAUGUGCCAGAACCAUAUACAUAGUGUCUAGGACAGAAUCUAGCAUAUCAUAAGUACUCAAUAAUGUUAGAUCUUUUCUGUUUACUACCCAAGUUACUGAUGCAUAUAAUUCCUUGGACAUAGUAAUAAAGGGCUGAAAACUAUUUUUAAUAGUCCAAAAAGACUAAUAGAAUUAUUAUAUUUACUUACAAUAAUAUUAACUAAAAUGUUAAGUUAUUUUGGGAAAUGUAUUAACAUAUCCCAUGCUUGCAAGCAGUCUUUCUUGGUGCAUACACAUCUUAGAUUAAUUAAAAAUAGGAAAAUGAACUAUUUAUAUAUGUAACUUGGUAUAUAAAAACCCAGAUGUGGAGUUCAUGAGGUGUCCUUGGUUACUUAGGAUUCCAAGAAGUCCGUUUUUAAAUUUUUUAUUUUAUUUUAGAUUCAGGGGUACAUGUGCAUGUUUGUUACAUGGAUGUGUUACAUACUGGUGGUGAUUGGGCUUCUGGGGUGCCCAUUACCCAAAUAGUGAACAUUGUGCCCAACAGAUAAUUCAACCCUCACCCUCCUUGGUUAUUUCCAACCACCUGUUUUGACCCUGGCUUCCAACUCCAGAAUCGUGAUGGAUUUACAGAAUUUUGGGGACUGACGUGUUUGCUACUGGACAAUUGUAGUGUGUUUAGUAAUAAAACAGAACCAGUAUCAUAACAAUAACAUUACAUAUUCUGAAUGGACUGAACUAUUAUAAUUUUGCCUGAAACUCAUGACAACUGCAUAUAUUUAGUCUGUGUUCAAGAAUUUUAUUGCUAAUUACCAAAUAGUACAAAAUGAAUAAUUGUUACCAAAAAAAAAAAAUUUGCCAGGUGCAGUAAGGCUUUGGUUAUUAGAUGGCAAGAAUGUUACAGUGGCAUGAAAUGACUAUGACAUUAUCAAGAAAAAUGGAUUUAUAUUUGAAUAGUCUAGACUACUUGUAAAAUCCUAUAAAACCCUCAACUCUCUUGUAUUUUACCCUAAAAAGUAUUUCAAGAAAUUAUCAGCUAGCAUACUUUGGAGAGAUAGUAUAGAGAUAUAAAGUCAGAGAAGAGUAACUACUUACCAGUCUCAUAAAUAUGCUAUAAAACUGUAAUUAUUUCAUCAGACUUUACUUCUUUAUAACCAAAUUUCUUUGAGACUGCUUAUGUUAUUCAAGAAACAAAGAGAGAAAGA